GGGAAUUCCUCUUUUAAUAUCUCCAGGCUUGAUUGGGGAGGGGCUGGGCUCUACCCCUUUCUUCUUUCCAUCCAGUCUAUUGCCAGAUCCAGAGAAAGCGCGGAAGCCCAGCUCUCCAGCAUAGCCACUGUGGUCGGCUUCACCUUCUGUCGACUCCUCAUGCUGGACUUGUCUUUCGGGUUCUUUGUAGCCCAGGGGAGCAUCAAAGUCCACGUUCAUGUCACACUCAAUGAUGGAC
rnacentral:misc_RNA from 1 species